AGAGUUUGAUCAUGGCUCAGAAUCAACGCUGGCGGCGUGCCUCAGACAUGCAAGUCGAACGCGAAAGUUCCCUUCGGGGAGCGAGUAGAGUGGCGCACGGGUGAGUAACACGUAGGUAAUCUACCUUUGGAUGGGGAAUAACAACCGGAAACGGUUGCUAAUACCGCAUAAUGCAGCGGCACCUAAUGGUGACAGUUGUUAAAGCGGGGGAUCGAAAGACCUCGCGUCUGAAGAGGAGCCUGCGGCAGAUUAGCUAGUUGGUAAGGUAACGGCUUACCAAGGCGAUGAUCUGUAACCGGCCUGAGAGGGCGGUCGGUCACACUGACACUGACAUACGGGUCAGACUCCUACGGGAGGCAGCAGUCGGGAAUUUUGGGCAAUGGGCGAAAGCCUGACCCAGCAACGCCGCGUGAAGGAUGAAAUCCCUCGGGAUGUAAACUUCGCAAGAACAGGAAGAAUAAGUAAGAGUUAAUAUCUCUUAUGAUGACGGUACUGUUUGUAAGCUCCGGCUAACUCCGUGCCAGCCGCCGCGGUAAUUC
rnacentral:rRNA from 1 species